AGGAGGAAAGGUUGGCGCCUAAUACGUGUCAACUGUGACGUUACUCGCAGAAGAAGCACCGGCUAACUCCGUGCCAGCAGCCGCGGUAAUACGGAGGGUGCAAGCGUUAAUCGGAAUUACUGGGCGUAAAGCGCACGCAGGCGGUUGGAUAAGUUAUAUGUGAAAGCCCCGGGCUCAACCUGGGAAUUGCAUUUAAAACUGUCUAGCUAGAGUCUUGUAGAGGGGGGUAGAAUUCCAGGUGUAGCGGUGAAAUGCGUAGAGAUCUGGAGGAAUACCGGUGGCGAAGGCGGCCCCCUGGACAAAGACUGACGCUCAGGUGCGAAAGCGUGGGGAGCAAACAGGA
rnacentral:rRNA from 1 species